UACGUAGGGCGCAAGCGUUAUCCGGAAUUAUUGGGCGUAAAGAGCUCGUAGGCGGUUUGUCGCGUCUGCCGUGAAAGUCCGGGGCUCAACUCCGGAUCUGCGGUGGGUACGGGCAGACUAGAGUGAUGUAGGGGAGACUGGAAUUCCUGGUGUAGCGGUGAAAUGCGCGGAUAUCAGGAGGAACACCGAUGGCGAAGGCAGGUCUCUGGGCAUUAACUGACGCUGAGGAGCGAAAGCAUGGGGAGCGAACAGG
rnacentral:rRNA from 1 species